AGCUCCAAUAGCGUAUAUUAAAGUUGUUGCAGUUAAAAAGCUCGUAGUUGGAUUUCUGUGGAGCACAGUAGUGGUGGCGUUCGAAUAAGACGUCUGCUAUUACGAACUCCUCAUAAUGUCUGUCGCUGUCUUCUGCCCUUAACUGGGUGGUUGGUGGUGGUGGACCGAUUACCUUGAACAAAUUAGAGUGUUCAAAGCAGGCAAGCUUUUGCCCUGAAUAAAUUAGCAUGGGAUAAUGGAAUAUGACUCGGUUCAAGUUUGUUGGUUACCUUGGGCCGGGUAAUGAUUAAUAGAGAUUGUCGGGGUCAUUCAUAUUCAAUUGUCAGAGGUGAAAUUCUUAGAUUUCUUGAAGAUGAACUGAUGCGAAAGCGUUUGACAAGGAUGUUCUCA
rnacentral:rRNA from 1 species